rfam:Lepisosteus oculatus linkage group LG2, whole genome shotgun sequence.
GCCAGCAGCCAUAUCACUCUGCAAGUCACAACUGGCAGCCCACUGAAGCAAAGCAGGUGUGAGCCUGGUCAGUACCUGGAUGGGAGAUCUCCUGGGAAAAACGAAGGUUGCUGCUGGAA